CCAUAGGCUGCACAACACUGAGGCUUGCACGAUACAUUUUUGCUUUCAAGAGUAGUGCUCUUCCUCAGAAAUGUCACUUUUUGCUAGCUGGCAUUGGCAAAGCCCCAGGAACUUGGCCAUUCCAGGCAGGAUUUCCAACAAGUGUAGUAAGGUGAACAACUACUUCAGAGUUCUGAGCAACAAGUCAAGUCUUUAAGAAAAAACACAAGAUGGCUCCAUUUGGAGAGAGUGGGUA